AACGCUAGCUACAGGCUUAACACACGCAAGUCGCGGGGUAACAUCUGGGAGAGCUUGCUCUUCCAGGAUGACGACCGGCGCACGGGUGAGUAACGCGUAUCCAACCUGGCCCAUACCACGGGAUAGCCCGUCGAAAGGCGGAUUAAUACCGUAUGCUGUCAUUAAGAGGCAUUUUUUGAUGACGAAAGGACUGGCGGUAUGGGAUGGGGAUGCGUCCGAUUAGCUUGUUGGCGGGGUAACGGCCCACCAAGGCGACGAUCAGUAGGGGUUCUGAGAGGAAGGUCCCCCACAUUGGAACUGAGACACGGUCCAAACUCCUACGGGAGGCAGCAGUGAGGAAUAUUGGUCAAUGGGCGCAAGCCUGAACCAGCCAAGUAGCGUGAGGGAAGACUGCCCUACGGGUUGUAAACCUCUUUUGUUUGGGAAUAAAGUGCGGGACGCGUCCCGCAUUGCAUGUACCAUUUGAAUAAGGACCGGCUAAUUCCGUGCCAGCAGCCGCGGUAAUACGGAAGGUCCGGGCGUUAUCCGGAUUUAUUGGGUUUAAAGGGAGCGUAGGCCGUCGUUUAAGCGUGUUGUGAAAUGCCGCGGCUCAACCGUGGCACUGCAGCGCGAACUGGAUGACUUGAGUUCGCGGGAGGUAGGCGGAAUUC
rnacentral:rRNA from 1 species